rnacentral:rRNA from 1 species
UAGGGAAUCUUCCACAAUGACGCAAGUCUGAUGGAGCAACGCCGCGUGAGUGAAGAAGGUCUUCGGAUCGCAAAACUCUGUUGUUAGAGAAGAACACGAGUGAGAGUAACUGUUCAUUCGAUGACGGUAUCUAACCAGCAAGUCACGGCUAACUACGUGCCAG